GAUGAACGCUGGCGGUAUGCUUAACACAUGCAAGUCGAACGGAGUACUUUCGGGUACUUAGUGGCGGACGGGUGAGUAACGCGUGAGAACAUGCCUUUAGAUUGGGGACAACAGUUGGAAACGACUGCUAAUACCGAAUGUGCCGAAAGGUGAAAGAUUAAUUGUCUAAAGAUUGGCUCGCGUCAGAUUAGCUAGUUGGAGUGGUAACGGCACACCAAGGCGACGAUCUGUACUUGGUCUGAGAGGAUGACCAGGCACACUGGAACCGAGACACGGUCCAGACUCCUACGGGAGGCAGCAGUGGGGAAUUUUCCGCAAUGGGCGCAAGCCUGACGGAGCAAUACCGCGUGAGGGAGGAAGCUUUUUGGAGUGUAAACCUCUUUUAUUAGGGAAGAAUUGAUGACGGUACCUAAUGAAUCAGCAUCGGCUAACUCCGUGCCAGCAGCCGCGGUAAU
rnacentral:rRNA from 1 species